GUUUAGCUCAGUAGGUAGAGCGUUCGUCUCAUAAGCGAAAG
rnacentral:tRNA from 14 species